rnacentral:tRNA from 1 species
ACAGAAAAUAGUUUACUCCUAAAAUAUUAAUUUUGGAAAUUAAAGAGAAAGCCAUCCUUUUUUUCUG